UUGAAAAAGAACUUGGAUCAGAGUUGCACAACUGGUUUGUGGACUGUGGAGGGAGUGUCACCCAGCCUGAGUAUCAAACCUCUCUCUCCCCUCCUCUCUCUGUCCGUGUGUGUGUGUCAGUGUGUCUUCACCUCUCUCGGCUUCUCCCUGUGAGUCUCUCCUCUCUCCACAUAAACUCAACUUUUGACGGCAACAUGUUUCUGGGAAAGAGUCUUCUCAAGACCAUCAUCAAGGCUGCCACCAAUGUCGACAUUGACCAGUUCCUCCCUUCAUCCCCUCCUCCACCUCGCAGACCUCUGAACUUCGCCGAGUCUCACGAGAACGAUGAGGAGAAACAGUUUCGUCGGGUUUUCCAGCAGCUGGCCGGAGAUGUGAGUCCAAAACAUUAAUGUGUGAUCAUGUUU